rnacentral:lncRNA from 10 species
CAAACUUGCCCAAUAGCCUUUCACCUCUGGAGAGCUGGAGUCAAUUCCGGCGAAUCCGGUCCCGCCGUGCAUCAUGGCAAAGUGAGACUGUUGUCUUGCCACCUGGUUCAGCUUGGCCAGAUCGAGCGGAGAAAUGAGGAAGACAAACAUAAAGAUGAAGUGCUUAAUUCAAGGUCACACAAUGUCGGGGAUGGACCUCCAGAUUUCCUUACUGGUGAGACGUGGUCUUGUAACACAGUGGUUAAGAAUGUGACUUUGGAGCCAGCCUGCUAGGGGCUGAAUUCUGACUCAGCCAUUUACUAACUGUGUGACCUUAGGGAGGAGGACCUGGUUGAUAGAAGAAUUUAUCUCGUAGUCUUAACAUCCACUGUAAUUCCAAACUUUGAGGACGAUAGAGAUCAGUGGGCUUUGACUGCCCAGCAUGCAGUCUCCAUUCUUAGGUGGGUUCCCAAGCCUGUAAAAUGUAAGCCUUAUGCUGCUGAGGGCCAUCUUGCCACCCUGAGGGAAACGCUGCCUGAGAAUGAAACAAGCAUAAGUAAAAGCUGAGCUGUGAGAUGGAGCAAGAUGAAGGCCACAUGACAUCUUUGGAGCACCUGGAUCUAACUGUGCCUUAAGCUAGUCUAACCCUGAACAUUUCAUCAUUUCAUUGACAUGAGCCCAGGUUUUCUUUUUUUUUGGAUGGAGUCUUGCUCUGUCGCCCAGGCUGGAGUGCAGUAGCUCAAUCUCGGCUCACUGCAA